UAGAAUGCAGAAAAAUUUGCUCUAAUUUUUGAACUUGAUAAAGAUGUUACAUUUGAUUUUGUGUACAUUGUUAUCUAGCUUUCUAAUUGACACUUCAUUAUUUAAGGAGUUUUGAGCUUCUUGUGCCUCUUUUGUGAAGAGCCACAAAAAGCUCAAAAUGAAAACUUAAAGAAGUUUUGUGAAUCAUUUUUCAAAAAUUGUUUGCGGUCAAAAAGAAAAUAAAGAUUUAUCAAGGCAACUGAUAUGUUCUUUUAACCCUUUAAUAAGUAAUUUGAGAAAGUAAUAUUCUAAGAGUAAUGCUUUUCUAAUUGGCAUUCUAAAUAUACUAAAAGAGGUUCCAAUUUUUAAUUAACUAUAAAUUACAAUUGCAUAAUUUUGAAUUUAGUUGGUAUCUAAAGUGUUGUUUACUUUAUAAGUAUUUAUUAUUUAUAUAAUAAAAUAAUGCAUGUUAUGUAAAUAAACGUUUUUUUGAAAAUACAAAUUUGCUUGUACUCUUACAUAUACUUUAUAAAGUAUUCAAUAGCUCUAACUGUGUUAACACUUGUUGAUUUUUACUUGGUUGCUAAGGACAUGUGAACUACAUAGAUACAAUUAAUUCGAAUUUUAUUAACUGUGUCUUUAAACCCCUUUGAGGUAAGAUUGUUUUCAAAGUUUUAAUUUCAUUUUUGAAUUAAACUGGUUUCUAAGAGCCCAAAACGGCAUAGCAACACCAAAAAUUACUAAUUUUUGUUUGCAUCAUUUAUACAUAUAAAAUAGCAUCGUAGCAAUAAUAUCAGUUUAGUUUAUAAAUUUGACAUUUUAAGAAAGUCUCUUAACUUAGGUAACUAUGCAAAAUACACUGUUGCUAUGGAAUAUAGGUAUCCAUAGCAACUUAAUAAACAAUCUAAUGGUACCAUUAAAUUCGUAUGUUAUUACUUUUGUCCAGCUAAUAAUUAUUUUAGCCCACUGUGCUCUGUAGGAUUUGAACAUAAUAACAUGUCAUUUCUCCAAUUGGCUUUUUGGUCUUGGUCAGAAAAAACCAUAACAUGUCAUCAACUACAAGGUGCUUAAGCUUGUUCAAGAGAAGUUUUCCUCAAAUAAGUCUCUGAUUCCGAGUUUGCGCCGACAUUACCAAUAACAUAGGACUUAUACCAGAGGUCUUUGUGGACAGCUCGAUGGAUUAGACCCUAAGAGAUAUUAAGGUCCCUCGCAAUGGCUCUCAUGGACUUUGAAGGGCUUUUGUGAACGAUCUCUUGUACUUGUUGGACAAAUUGUAUAUUUCUAAUUGUGUCCGAGCGUUCCUCUUGUCUUUUGCAAUUUGCAACAGUUUCUACAUCGUCAGCUGAUGCUUCCCAUACCCGACGAACCUUAUGUACGAAUGAUCGGGCGCAGUUAAAAAAAUUGGCCAACUCUUAAACCACUAAAUAUCGGCCUAGUGGUCUUUAAGUCUGGUCUUUACCUAUUCGUUUCGAUUAAUUAUCAAGGAACUAAUAAGUAAGUUUCAUAACUCUUGUUUACAAGUUUACUUAUUGUAAUCUUCCAUAUAAAAAAUUAUUCUUAAUUCAAAAAUAAAGUUAUUAUAUUUAUGACACAAGAAUAACAUUAAAAUUAUAUUUUAGAAAUGAGGAGUCAAAAUAAAGAAAGUUAUAAUAUUCUUAUAUGGAAGACUAGGAAGAAGUUCAGAACUUUUUCAGAAGUAAGCCGCAAUAUAUAGUGGAAGUAAUGGAUAAACUAAGCCUGCAAUUCAAAGCAAAGCAAAAACAUUAGAAAAAUCAAAUGGUAAGCAAAGUUCGACUGUAUUACAUUUCUGUUUUAUAAUGUUAGUUUAAACAUUUCUUUAUUAUUUUUAUUUUUUCGGCCUCAACAGCAACACCUUUUGCAGUUGAAUCAGAUAGUGCGUUUUGCAUACUCACGUAUAUUUGGAUGCUAUGUGUAUUGAAGCGUAAACAUUCAUUUUUUGAUGUUUGUACAAUAUUUCAUGACUGUUAAGUUUAUGUUAAUUUAAACAUUAAUUUUUUUUUUGCGUCCACAGAAGCACCAUUGGCAUCAGUAUCAGUUAAUCUGUUAUCAGGUAUGUGUUUUAUAUGUAUUCAAACUUAAACAUUACAUUUUUUGAUGAUUGUAUGUAGUUCCAUGGUUGUUAAAUGUAUGUUAACUUAAUCAUUACAUUUUUUUUUCCGCAGCAAAUUCUUCUCUUGCAACAAAAAAUUUAAGUGAAUUGAGAUGUUUAUUAAUUGUUGUAUGCAUAAUUUAUUUUGAUAUCUAUGUAUUCAAAUUUAUUUUUUUAGCAUCGUGGGAUGUGAUAGAUUUCUUCGAUAUUGCUCCUAGCACCCAAGCCCACUAUCACAAAGCUUCUUCCGGUGGUGUCAAUAUGGGAUUAUUCUGUUUUAUAAUGUUAGUUUAAACAUUUCUUUAUUAUUUUUAUUUUUUUUCUUUUUUUUUCCCUUCCUUUAGAUAAAGGAGACGAAUGCGAAAAAGAGACGAAAUUUUACUAUUAAUAAUAUAUAGAGAAAAUAAAAAGGUUAACAACA